rnacentral:lncRNA from 10 species
AAGAAACCAAAUGAAAGCAAAGGUAUAAAAUGAUUUAGAUGUUAGUCUGCAGAAAGAAAAAGCUGAAGGAAUUAGAAACAGCCACAGGAACUUUCUGUGAACCAGGAGAGGCACUUCCAUUUACAAACCACACUUUGUUUUUCAUAGAGUGGGCUUGAUCAUCACUUAAGAACUGAAAAUUCAGCAUUCCUUCUAAGGUGCAUUUUGUUCAAAUUGAUAUAAGUGCCCCAGAUGGUUUGGCUUAUGGUAUCCCAUUGAUUAUUGCGUUCUGCUCUUGCAAGUCAUAGAUCUGUUGUAAUCUAACUGUCUGGGGAGUGGCCAUUAUUCUAGUUUCAAACCCAUUCUGUCCUCAGUCACACGCAUUCAAGCAAAGUAAUGCAGGGGGACCAGAUAAAAGCCGCCCAUUAGAAACCUCAGUUGCUGCUUGCCUCUCCCACAGAAUUGAAUAUAUUACUCCAGCUAUCGUCAACAAACAUGCUUCAACAACAGGAUCCUCACUGUUUGGAAGACAGCCCCUGAGACCCAGAGCAAAUGGGUCAAAGUCUCAGUUACAUCAGUAUAACUACAAAGACAAUAAUUCUUACCUCUCUCACAGGAUCCAGUGAAAAAGGACAUAAAAGAGUAUUUGAAAUCAGCAAGACUGAAGCUCUACAAAGACUGAUAUUUUAAACAUGGCCACUGUGACCUACUUAUAACCACGUGUCAACUUUAACACCGGAUUCCAAAAACAAGGCACAAUGUGAGAUGAAAUGAUAAUCAAAGUGGAUUACUGGAGGUUUGCUUGGAAUCCUGGUCUUCCAUGUGGACAUCGUUUUUUGGGGACAGCAUCUGGGGCUUCCUUCUGCUACCACAACCAUCCUCAAAGUAUAGUCUGGAGACCUCGGUAGGUGCCCAUGGCCUUUUUAAGGGUCCACAAAUUCAAACCUAAU